rnacentral:rRNA from 1 species
AUUGAACGCUGGCGGCAGGCCUAACACAUGCAAGUCGAGCGGAGCGGCGGACGGGUGAGUAAUGCCUAGGAAUCUGCCUGGUAGUGGUGGCUUACGUCCGGAAACGGGCGCUAAUACCGCAUACUCUCAGAUCAGCCUAGGUCGGAUUAGCUCGUUGGUGGGGUAAAGGCCUACCAAGUCGACGAUCCGUAACUGGUCUGAGAGGAUGAUCAGUCACCCAGGAACGGAGACACGGUCCAGACUCCUACGGGAGGCAGAAGUGGGGAAUAUUGGACAAUGGGCGAAAGCCUGAUCCAGCCAUGCCGCGUGUGUGAAGAAGGUCUUCGGAUUGUAAAGCACUUUAAGUUGGGAGGCGUUACCAACAGAAUAAGCACCGGCUAACUUCGUGCCAGCCGCCGCGGUAAUUC